ACCAGCAUGGUGGCACGUGCUCGUAGUCCCAGCUACUCGGGAGGCUGUAGUGGCAGGAUCGCUUGAGUCCAGGAGUUCUGGGCUGUAGUGCGCUAUGCCGAUCGGGUGUCCGCAGUCAGUUCAGCAUCAAUAUGGUGACCUCCCAGGAGUCGGUUGCCUAAGGAAGGGUGAACCAGCCCAGGCUGGAAACGGAGCAGGUCAAAACUCCUGUGCUGAUCAGUAGUGGGAUCACACCUGUGAAUAGCCACUGCACUCCAACCUGGGCAACAUAGCAAGACCUCCUCUUU
rnacentral:SRP_RNA from 1 species